rnacentral:rRNA from 1 species
UUGCUCUCGGGUGACGAGUGGCGGACGGGUGAGUAAUGUCUGGGAAACUGCCUGAUGGAGGGGGAUAACUACUGGAAACGGUAGCUAAUACCGCAUAACGUCGCAAGACCAAAGAGGGGGACCUUCGGGCCUCUUGCCAUCAGAUGUGCCCAGAUGGGAUUAGCUAGUAGGUGGGGUAACGGCUCACCUAGGCGACGAUCCCUAGCUGGUCUGAGAGGAUGACCAGCCACACUGGAACUGAGACACGGUCCAGACUCCUACGGGAGGCAGCAGUGGGGAAUAUUGCACAAUGGGCGCAAGCCUGAUGCAGCCAUGCCGCGUGUAUGAAGAAGGCCUUCGGGUUGUAAAGUACUUUCAGCGGGGAGGAAGGCGAUAAGGUUAAUAACCUUGUCCAUUGACGUUACCCGCAGAAGAAGCACCGGCUAACUCCGUGCCAGCAGCCGCGGUAAUACGGAGGGUGCAAGCGUUAAUCGGAAUUACUGGGCGUAAAGCGCACGCAGGCGGUCUGUCAAGUCGGAUGUGAAAUCCCCGGGCUCAACCUGGGAACUGCAUUCGAAACUGGCAGGCUGGAGUCUUGUAGAGGGGGGUAGAAUUCCAGGUGUAGCGGUGAAAUGCGUAGAGAUCUGGAGGAAUACCGGUGGCGAAGGCGGCCCCCUGGACAAAGACUGACGCUCAGGUGCGA